GAUGAACGCUAGCGGCAGGCUUAAUACAUGCAAGUCGUGGGGCAGCAGGACUGUAGCGCUACAGUUGCUGGCGACCGGCAAACGGGUGCGGCACACGUACGCAGCUUACCCUGAACUGGGGGAUAGCCCGGGGAAACCCGGUUUAAUACCCCGUAAUAUAAUGGAGUGGCAUCACUUUAUUAUUAAAGCUCCGGCGGUUCGGGAUGGGCGUGCGGCUGAUUAGGUAGUUGGUUGAGGUAACGGCUCACCAAGCCUACGAUCAGUAACUGGUGUGGGAGCACGACAAAUCAGACGGGCACUGAGACACGGGCCCGACUGCUACGGGAGGCAGCAGUAAGGAAUAUUGGGCAAUGGAGGCAACUCGGACCCAGCCAUGCCGCGUGGAGGAUGAAGGCCCUCUGGGUUGUAAACUUCUUUUAUAGGGGACGAAACCUGUGUAUUCUUACGAAGUUGACGGUACCCUAGGAAUAAGCACCGGCUAACUCCGUG
rnacentral:rRNA from 1 species